AUCCAUCUCAUUAUGUCUCCUGUGAUCAGAUACCCUCAAUGAAUUUGGAAGCUUGGAAAGACGAAAUGGGCGAAGACUUAAAACGGUGUGGCCUUCCUAAACAGAUCAACAAUGGAGAUUAUAUCUUGUCCUCUACAUCUCGAAAACUGGUUGCUCUAUACUCUUGUUACCAUGGUUUCACAUUAAAGGGUGCCGCUGUCAUAGUUUGCAUGGGCAAUCGAUGGUGUAAUCAACCUCUACAAUGUAACAGGGAAUCACCCCUAAGAUGUUAGCGAUGCAACAGAAUGGGAAAUGCUACAUGAGUUUAUAAUCAAGUUCACAUGA
ensembl:lncRNA